UACGUAGGGUGCAAGCGUUGUCCGGAAUUAUUGGGCGUAAAGAGCGUGUAGGCGGUCCGAUAAGUCGGCUGUGAAAGUCCAGGGCUCAACCCUGGGAUGCCGGUCGAUACUGUCGGACUAGAGUUCGGAAGAGGCGAGUGGAAUUCCCGGUGUAGCGGUGAAAUGCGCAGAUAUCGGGAGGAACACCUAUGGCGAAGGCAGCUCGCUGGGACGUUACUGACGCUGAGACGCGAAAGCGUGGGGAGCAAACAGG
rnacentral:rRNA from 1 species